GAAGAAGGAGAGAAGAUUGGGGCAUUUAUUGCCUCAGCUCCCUCUUGUUAUGUCCCCACAAUGUGGGGGACCCUUCACCUUGGCUCAUUUUAGGAAGUCCCUUAUAGACAGGUCCCUGUUCCAGUAGCCAGUCCUUCCCUUUUGCUUUUUCAGAUUAAGGAGGGUUUUAUGAUUCAUUUUAGUUCAUUCAACAAAUAUUUGUUGAGGACCUAUUAUGUGUAAGGCACUAGUGUGGAAAAGGCACAAUACUUUGUCCUUAUAGAGUCUAAUGUCUGGAAGGAAGAGAAACAUUAAGUAAAGUCACAAUUAAAAUAGCUACAUACUGUGAUAAGGACCAUGUCGGAGGAGUAUAGGAUGCCUGAUGAAGACUCAAGGCAAGAGGAAACCAAAUGUGUGCACCAGUGUAUGUGAAUGCUUUGGAGCAGGAAGGAACUCAGCACAUAUGAGAAACUGAAAUAAGACUAGUAAGGCUGUAGCACAGUGAAUGAAGGAGAACCAAGGUCAACGACAAAAUUCAACAAUGGAUUAGCUUUGGGUCCACCCUAUUUCCAACACUACUACCACUGAUAUCUUCUUGAACAUCACUAGGAAUGGAAAGAACGAGAGCCAAGGAAGUGCCCCAGGAUGCGGACCAGUGAUGACGUUGGUAAUUUGACCUGGACCCCAAAGAUGCACAGGACUAGGACAGGCUUCCGAGGAGAACAGACUAACUGUCACGGAGGUGUGGAGGCAAGAGCAAUGUAAAGUUUUCUUCUAUUUUAUGGUGUCUAUGCUGUACUAUGAAACUGUGUCCUUUACUGAAGGUCCAGGAAGCAAGCCCAUGAACCCUUUCAGAGGUGGACCUACCAUGAAGUUGAUGGAGCUCAAGCCUCAAUGUCCCUCCCUUGAGCAGGGCCCUUUGAAGACACUGGGAGUGGACAAAUGAUUUGUGUUAUUUGUAAAAGUAAGAUAUUCUAACCAUUAUCAACUAGACUGUUGUUCUUUCCCACUCUGACUUUCCCUAUGGCACACUUCUCCUGGGUCAGGUGGUGUUGGAAUGGCUGCUGGCAUUUUUGACAUCCAACUAAAAGGAAGUUGAGUUGGGGGACUCAUUUGGUUUGAAGUUAGUGGGAUGUAUUUAGGUUACUCUCAUUUCUACGUAUCGUAAGUUGCUGCUAUCUCUCCUGGUAUAUCAAUGGUUCUAAGCAAUAUUCCUAUUGCCUACUGUGCCACUUCUCUGACAUCAUGACAUUAAGGCUAGAAGUUGUAUUGUAAUGGAAUGUACCUAACUCUAGAAGGUUGUGGGUGGUGGAGGAGAAACAAGAUUUGAAAAUUCUUCCAAACAUCAGAUACAUAAAUUUAUGAAUAGAAAAAAAGAUCCAUUUUUAUGGAAGCCUGCUCCGAACAGACAUUCUUUACUAGCAAGAAUAUACUCGAUAAUUCAAUAUGUACAAUUUUAAAUGCACCACGUACUUUCUUCUUUUUUGAUGGAAUUGUACAAAAGAGAAUUUAUGAAAAUUUCUGCGUUUUUAGGGCACAAAUCUGUCAUAGAACUACAAAUAUCAGGUAUGGCUGUGCAUUCAGCCAUGUAUUUUAUGCAGCCCAACUAUAAUCAAAAUCAAAAUAUAAUCAUUCUUUGAUCAGCCAUGUUAAACAAAAGACUGAAUUAUUUUUUUCUUGGAAAUUGAGUUUUACAGAAUUGAUGUCAUAAAUGUAAAAAAUUAAUAAUUAAUUUAUAUAGAUUUUGUGCAAUUUGUGGUAUUUGUUAGCUUUUUAAAAUUUGCAGUUGGUGUCAAUUUCUCUUCUCUUUGGAAUAAUACUCACUUUUUAAUUUAAUUUGUAUUCAUUUUUUAAAGGAACCCCCUAAUUUUAUAAGCUUUGACCAUACAAAGACUGUAUCUGCUCUGGUUCCAUUCUUAAGCAUCUUAUGACAAUUUUACCAGGGCAACAGUGUCACCAAAGUUCUCAACUUGCAGGAUUUUCAUACUCCUCUCUCCCUCUUUUGUUGUCAUUGGAAGACCCAAUGACUUCUUAUUCUCCUAAACCUGCAGAGAGGGAGAAGAUGUGAAUUAAGAUGUGAAUUAUUUAGCCUCAGAGAUAUCAGACCACACAGAGCACUUUAUUCGGAGGAACUGGAGGCUUCCAAAGGAUAAAUGGGGGCCCUGAAAGUUGAAGAGAUACGGUGACACACUGAGAAGGAGUCAAAGGGUGAAGGGCAUUGUGUUUGAAGAGAAGCUGAGCUGGAGGAAAGGGAGUGAGAAAAUCCUGGGGUUUGGUUUUUGGAAGGGCCAAGGUCUUGGCAGCUGAGACUUGGCCAGUGGAAGCCAAUGGGGCACAUCAAUCAGGCACACAUGGAGAGAGCCCUGGAUUAUGAACCAGAUCCUGGAGGUUGUUCCAGCUCUCCUUAUCCUAGCCAGGGAGACGACGAUUCUGCGAGAUGGCAGAAUAGAAAAGAGUGAGAUGCUUGGGCCUUGCUCACCUUAGUAACCAAAUCUUGCAGUUAAUGGCAAAAAGGAGAUGGAGUAAUUUUUAAAUCUUUUCGUAGGAAGGGAGAACGGAAGUGGAGUGACUUUUGGGGCUCAUAGAGUGGUUUUUUUUUAGUAAGAGUCCCAGUUUAUGCCUGUUGUCCCAAAGUAAUAAUUAAUGGCAUCCCCUUCCACUCUCAAAAGCGUCCUGGUUUGGUCAGUAAAGCAUGUACUUGUCCUGGCUAUCAUCACCUUAAAAAAGAAAAUGAAGAGAAUUGGUGACAAGGUUUAGUAAGAAAGAAAGGCCUGGAGGGAUUUGCUAGUGCAUGGUGCCCCGCACUGGGCUGGUUCACUGGGCCUUCUUCUGACUUGUUAUCAAACACUCCACCACCUCUGCUUCCUCUCUCUACACCCCUUGUUCAUCUCAUACUUGCUAACUUUGACUACUGCUCUCUACCCUCUCUUUCCCAAAACAUCCUCUACUUAACCUCUACGAGGUGCAUUCUUGCCUCCUGAUUGGACUGGUUCUGUCAGCCCCAGGCUUGCCAAGUUCCUGGAUUGGCCCAGCCAACACCCAAGCCCUCU